GAACGCUAGCGACAGGCCUAACACAUGCAAGUCGAGGGGCAGCACAAGGAGCAAUCUGAGGUGGCGACCGGCGCACGGGUGAGUAACACGUAUGCAACCUGCCUGUAAGCGGGGAAUAACCCGUUGAAAGACGGACUAAUACCGCAUAAUACUAAAUUACUGCAUGGUAAUUUAUUUAAACAUUUAUGGCUUACAGAUGGGCAUGCGCAUGAUUAGCUAGUUGGAGAGGUAACGGCUCCCCAAGGCAACGAUCAUUAGGGGUUCUGAGAGGAAGGUCCCCCACACUGGUACUGAGACACGGACCAGACUCCUACGGGAGGCAGCAGUGAGGAAUAUUGGUCAAUGGACGAGAGUCUGAACCAGCCAAGUCGCGUGCAGGAAGAAUGUCCUAAUGGAUUGUAAACUGCUUUUGCAGGGGAAUAAAGUGCAUCACGUGUGAUGUUUUGUAUGUACUCUGCGAAUAAGGAUCGGCUAACUCCGUGCCAGCCGCUGC
rnacentral:rRNA from 1 species